CACCAACUCAAUGGACAUGAGUUUGCGUAAACUCUGGGAGUGGGUGAUAGACAGGGAGGCCUGGUACGCUGCAAUCCAUGGAGUUGCAAAAAGUUGGACACAACUGAGCAACUGAGCUGAAUUUAUAGGGUACAAAAGCACAAUCACAGCCAUAUUAAUAUGUUACCCACCCUGAUAGCAUUCCAUUUUAAAUUAUUUUUUGAAUGCCUGAAUCAUAACCCCAAAGAUCUUGAUCUUGGUAGGGAUCUUGGGACACAUGACAGAAUCAGUGAGAGAAAUGAUAGAGUCGGAAGACACCUUGUUCUACAUGAUUUACUGGUUGUGUGCUCUCAAGGGAAUGCCAAAGGUAGUGAGUAGAUCCAGAUGGGGACCAUGUUAGCCAGUAGAGCACCUUCUACACUGGAUUUCAUGGCAGCUCUCAGAGCCAGAUAAAGGUUCUAGUCCUUGCUCAGUGCCUUUAAGAUCUGCUGCGCCUGAUUCAAGGCCUUUCUCGGUCCAUCCACGCUACAUGCACUUGCCCCGUCAGAACACAAGUUCUUCUGCUCAUUCUUCCAGUGCUCCAUUAGUUCCCCAAAUAGGCGAGCAUGUCCCAAAAUGAGGUCUUCACUCAUCCCAUGAGAUACUCUUCAGAAGAAAGAUUUUAUGGUCAAGCAAGUUUGGAAAAUGGUGUAUGUUGUAGUUACUUAUUCAUAAUGCAAGCUUGAAAGGUUCACAACAUAAAUUUUAAAACUCUGAGAAUUUUUUUUCAUUAAAGAUACCUGAUUAGCCUUGUUAGCCUAGGGGUUUCCCACAUAUUUGACUAUAGAAUGCUUUCAGGGAGUGCUAAAUUAAGGCAAAAUCAUUCCUAGUCGUGGCUUCAAGUGUUAGUACCAUUUCAAGUUGACAUUUUCAUGUAAAAUCACGCCUUUUAGUGACACCCUCACAAUCAUUUGUAAAAUGAAAAAUGCAGUCAAAUCACUGAGCAGGAACGAGGGGAGGAGGCGGAGAGUAGAAAAGGAAGCCUGUCCAAUGCAGUCUCACCCAGGUUCACAAAACAACAGUUGGUUCCUAACCCACAGAGAACCUGUAGCUCAAAGAAUCUGAGUCACCUUCUUGUUCUUUUUUAGAAGCCAGGAAACUUACGGGGCUUUGGGGAGGCAAUGUCCAUCAGGAAAACACUCUCUAGCAAGCUAAUUAAGAGUCCUUGAGUACUGAAAGCGUUUCAGGGAAACAAAUCAUCCCAGGCCCAUUGGAAAGGUCUCUGUCAAAAGCAGCCAAGAGCAUUAACUUAGCACCCUUAUAAAUGAAAUGAUAUAAAUUACAUCUCUUUUUCUAAAAAAAAAAAAAAAAUAUAUAUAUAUAUAUAUGUUGAAUUCAGGGAACGCAGUUGGCUUCCUUUUCAUAUGAGCUACAAAGGAUGUGUUUCAGUUAUUACUGCUUUUUUCUAUUACUUCACAAAUCUGGCAGAGACGGGCAUUGAAUAUGUAAAAGACUAAUAUGUGUUUUAAGAAGUGUAUGGAGGCCAAACCACAGGAAUUUAUUGGCCAAGCCCCUUAAUUGUCAUGGAUUUAGAAGAAGUCAAUUAAGAGAGUCCUGUUUGAGCCCAGAAAGUCAGGCGUGGUGCUGAGAGAGUGAUCUUGUUCACAGAUUGCAGCCGAGCCUGUCUGGUCCUCCACCCUCAGGCCUCAAGUUCAUGCAUUUAGUUUCCACAUGGUGGUCACUUUUAUACGUGGCAGCUCAGCACCCCAAACCACCUUUCUUUGAGUGGAUUUGGCCCUCACAUGUUGGCUGACCUGUCACGACAGUGGAAGAUUGCUGGAGUCAUUAAGCUGGACAUCUUGGAGCAGGAGGUGGGGGGUGGAGGACAGGAUUGAUACUGCAGGUAGACAAGGAGAACCCAUAAAAGCCACCAUCCUAAAGAAGCAUUCCCUGGAUUCAGUGGUCAUGCUCACUGCCCACCAUGCCCCAUCCCAUGACCAGCAUCCCUCUACAGAGGGCGGCGGACACUGAGCUUCUCCAGGGACAUCUUUGUCAACACUGCCUUUAAUCACUGGGACCUCACCCACCCCCAGCCAGGCUGUGCAGAGUAGCUGGGGUGGGAAGUCAAUGACGGGAAGCAGGGAAGACACGAUGGCACCCACAGACCAAUGUGUUUACCAACAGGAGCUAUAAGAGUGGGCCCCUAUGGUGGACUCCUAACAGAGGGACAAAGAAUGUCUGUCAGGAGCUUCUAGGAUGUCAGCAGUUAGAAAUUUAAAGCCUCAUCUUUGCCUGAGAGGGGCCAGCUGAGGGUGAGCACACACACUGCCCAUAGGGGCCUGGCAGGAUACCAGGGCAGGGCAGAAUUUAGAGGUUCUGAGAGCCAGCAGCCGCAGCAGCUAGCAUCGGGGGGUACUACCUUAUUCACCACUCUGGGGCAGCGGUAAUACUGUCACUGUAGCUUCACUGAUGACAUCUCUGCUGAGAAGCUGAGUGCGUUAUGAUCCUCCAGGACAAACCGUCUUCUCCCUAGGUCAUUGGAACAGCAUUCAUUUCACUGAGUGUAUGUUAAGUUACUUCAGUUGUGUCCAACUCUUUGUGACCCUAUGGACUGUAGCCCGCCAGGCUCCUCUGUCCAUGGGAUUCUCCAGGCAAGAAUACUGGAAUGGGUUGCCAUGCCCUCCUCCAGGGGAUCCUCUCAAUCCAGGGAUUGAACCCGCAUCGCCUGUGUCUCCUGCUUUGGCCGGCCGGUUCUUUACCACUAGCGCCUCCUGGGAAGCCCUCUCACAAAUUCAGCCCAUAAAUUAAAUGGAUGUUUUUGUGGGAUUUCAUUUUAACAGAUUUUUGGUCUGAUCUGUAAUGAGCUUUUAAACAUCAGUUUCAGUCUAUUUGUUUUCUAGUUGUUCAAGUUAAGAUUCAUCUUUUUUAAUCCUCCCCGUUCUCCUAGCCAACAGCAACAUGGAUGUGUAUGUACAUGUCACCUAAUUAGAGCCUUAUUUAAAGAUUCCUGGGAUCUUUACCCUUCUGGUUAGGUCAGUUCUGAGGUCAGGCACCCCAGUCAAACCACAGAAGCUUUUGAAGCCUGCUCCUUCCCUCUCAACCCUCAAAGUUGAGCUUGCAAUAAACUGCAGGCACUUGAGCUGAGUGCAGUGUCAAAGGGCUGGAUUUGUCAUUUGCCUUGGUGACUAAAACAGCACAUUUUCGGUUCACCUUUGAGUUUGUAAAUCCUUUUUAUGCACAUAAAUUUUAAUCUCAAAUGUUAACCUUCCAAAUGAAUGCCAGAAUUAGGUUUGGACAGUUUUUACCUCUUGGCUGAAGUUAACACAAAGCCCACACCUGAAAAUGUUGUUCAAGCUUAAAAUUUAUCCACCUACAUGUGGGAUUAGAGGGGCUUGAAAAAUGACCCGUUGGCAGGGAGUAUUUUAGUACAUGGGGCUAUAUGGCCUUGUAUGACUUAACUUUGCAGACUGUGGCUUGCCAGCUGGAAAAACUUGAGUUUGGUAGAACUUGAGGCAUCAUCAAAUAUUUGUUCCAUGCUUUUAAAAUAAAGUAAGCUCAGGAUUGUGCUAAUACUGUAACUAAUAUCCCAUGCUACUGCCUUCAGAGCCACAAAAAGAAGCUGUGCUUUUUUUUCCCCCUUCUGUGCUAAAGAUGAUUUUGUUUAAUAUUAUGAAGUCCUCUGUUGAUCAGGAUGUGGUUCCAUUUGGUAACAUUUAAGGGAUCAAAUAGGUAAGAUUUAUAUUGAAUAUUAAUAGCAGGUGCCUUCAAAUCCCUACCAUGCUUAUACUCUUAUAAGAAUAAGGAUAUCAUAAUGUGUUUUUUCCUGAACACGUUUUAAACAUGCGUUAAAUGCACUUCUGCAUCCGUGCUUAUAAAGAGAAGAAAACAGACUAAAGUUGAUACCAUCUGAUUUUAAUCAAAAAGGAGCAUGCUUGUCAUGUAGCUCUCCCAGCCCCGUGGCUGCUUACAGCUCGCUCUAGUUCCUUUUCCUCAGUGAUUCACAGUCCAGAGAGACAGCUCCACUCCCAGUUAAAGCUCUGCCACUUUGGGAAGGCCUAAGGGGAUUUGAUUUCUCUUAGCCAGAUCUGUAUUUCAGCUGUUGGUUUUACUUACGGGACCUGCGAAAGAAUGUAACAGAGAAUCAGUGGAUUAGAGUGUAAUUCUGUGCUCAUGGUCCUAUCGGUGUUGGCAAACCCUAAUCUUAGGGAAAGUGGGAAGGGGCCCCUUCCUGGAUUGGUGACACAAGUAAAGCAUAGGAACCAUUUCACUGGGUGCCGAGAUCAAUGCCCUGAUUCCCCCUUUCUAUCUGACAAACUCCGGUUGAUUCCUCAAAACCCACCUUCUCCCAAAAGACUUCACUGAACCCUCCCACACUUACAGUUUAUAACUCUUCUGUGCUAAGGGCUGCUUCCCUCUUGAGUGCAGUGAUUAUGUUUACCUGCCUUCCUCACUAGACCUGGAGCUCCUUGAAGGCGGACGAUAUUUUCUUACUCAUAGUUAUACCGCAAGAACUGAGCCGCAAACCCAUUCUUAUGUUGAACUGCUGGCAAUGUAGUUGCUUUGAACGCCCACCCCUCUUGCCUCAUCAUUCCCCAGUUUUUCAUUCUACGAGCAUUUCUUGAGAAACUUGAAUAUUGGGAUUCGGAAUGUUUGCAGAAUGAAGUAAUUCAUUAUGCAGAAAUGGGCACAUUUAGAUUUUUGUAGAGACAAAGCAAGCACGGUUGCCCACAGAAGAUGACCAGAAUCAGAAAAGUAAGCAAACAGCUUAUGCAUUAGCAUCUCAAAUUUGUGCUUUUGUUUUUAUUUUCAUGUACUGUGGUAGCAAAUGCUCUAGAACCUGGGAAAAAUUGCACUUUUAAAUAGAGACUUUGAUAUUUUAUUAGGGUAAUAGUAUUCUUAGGGCUUAGCAGAGCUCAGGAAUGCAGGGUAAAAACCCUUAUGAGACAUCAAAGCGUGAACUAGAAUAGUAUUCUUACACAGAAGUUAUCACACCCAGAUUAAAAUGAAAGAGCAUAUUUAAACAAAGAAGAUACGCUUAAGAAAAACAACUGUUUAUUGAGCCCUUACAGUGUACCAGGCGCUGAGCCAAGCUUCCUGAGUCAGAUGUGUAAAUGGAAAUAGUCUGAUUUAGGUAGCUUACUGUCAUAAAAGAAUGGGCAAGGUUAUAGAACACAUACAAACAUUAAUUUAAACACCAUUUUUAAAGGAAAAUGUAGUAGCCUAAUUUUACAUGUGCAGAAAAUUAGAAGAGAAAGGAUGAGUUGUCUUGAAUUCAAGAGAUUUAUCUUUUCUGUGAUUGAAGUUCAGACUGUUUAUUGCCAUCAGUGCAUUUUUAAUAGAAUCUUAUUAUUGCAUUGAUUUUGUAAUUAUUGUCACCCUAUCAUUGACUUUGGUAUAAUUAAUGUAUGGGCUUCCCUUGUAGCUCAGUUGGUAAAGAAUCUGCCUGCAAUGUGGGAGACCUGGGUUCUAUCCCUGGGUCAGGAAGAUCCCCUGGAGAAGGAAAUGGCAACCCACUCCAGUAUUCUUGUCUGAAGAAUCCCAGAGGAGCCUGGCGGGCUACAGACCAUGGGGUUGCAAGAAUUGGACAUGACUUAGCGACUAAACUGCUACCACCAUAGUGAUGACUACUGGGUGUAGUUCUGUGCAGUGUCUUGCAGGCCAAGGACCAGAUUAAAUGAAGUAUCGUUCAUAGCACAUAGUGAGUACUCAGUAGGACAAUACAGAAUUCAAGUUUUGUUAACUGAGGUUGGUUCGAAGUUAGAAUGGCUUCAUAAACACCAGCCCAAUGUUUGAGCUGUAGUUUUCAAUUCCUGUAGAUUGAUUGGCUAUUGAUGUUGAGGCUAUUAUUAUAAAAAGGCCAUUUGUUAGUAAAAAAGUAUGCCAACCUAGACUUAAACCUCCGAUGAGCACUAUAGUGGCCAUUCGUGGAUAGUCUUGCAUAGAUGUAUUUUUCACCGCACUAGUUGGGGUUACAGGACAAUCCCAGCCCCUCUUGGGAGGCAUGGAGUUCCAAGGAGAUGGCUCCAAACAUAGCUAAAGACACUAGACCAUCUUGAAAAUGAGGCAGCUUUGCAUAUCAUUCUGCAGAUGAUCCACUGUCAUUUGUCUUGGGUGGCAUCUGGGUGUCCUGUGACUUCAAACUGGAUAGGCUCAACAACUCUACAAAAAAAAAAAGUCUUACAUUCUGAAAUCUGGCUGACCCAAGAAACCACUCCUGUAGUACUUGACAGAUUAUAAAGCGUUUUGGUAUACAUAAUCUCAUUCGCUAUGCUCAUGAUGGUACCGUGAAGGCUGGAGCCUUGAGAAUGUUAACAGAUGUCUGUGAAACUCGAAUGGACUCUGGUGUCUAACAAAGAGGGUUGGAGUAGGGGGUGGUGAGGCUGUGUCAGAAGUGUCUCGGAGAGCAGGGAAGUGCCUCUAACAUACGUCAGACCCUGAGUGCCCAGUAAACAGGAAGGGAUCCUACAACCAGGAAUCCUGGGACAUUUAUAAGUUGGAGUGGAGGAGGCAAUAGGGAAAGAGUUUUGCCUGAAUCUGAAGAGGAAGCUUGAGGUUCCUGACAUACAUUCUAUGAAGCUGGCAGAGCUGUGAGGUGGAGCUUCUUUAAGACUGGCAUUGGCAAGCAGGCAGAAUGUUAAAACGACCACAAGAGCCAUUUUAUAGGUCGAGACCCAUGCGGCAAAGAUGGGCCUCCCACUGAAAGCACGGUAGCAUUUUCCCAUGUGUAAUUCAGAUCCUGGGACUUACCAUGCAUUUUGAAAGCCAGCAGUAGGGGGAUCUCGGCUAUCAAUGAGGGGAAAGGAGGAAAAAAGUCUGCAGUGGCAGGUGGGUACAAGUAGCCAAAAGAUCAUGGCAGUCGAGGAUCAGCCAGGAUGUUUCUGUAGAGAAUUGCUUUGUAUAAAAACCCCCUUCCUUCCAAGUUCUCCCUAGCCUCCCAGAAUCCUGAUAUGGAAUAAUGUUCUGAAGAAUUUUCCUGAUUGUGAGUUGGAGAGUUCAUGGGGGGAGGGAGAAACAAAGAGUAACAAUCCAGAUAAGGAAUCAGAGGAUGUAAAUGAUGGAGGGAGCACCCUUCAUGGGAUAUUUUGCAAAUGACAACAGGGCCAUUGAACACAGCCUCUUAUCUAGCCUUGUAAAUCUGUGGGUGCACCUUUUAGCAAAUGUCAUAGCCUCCCAGCUAUUCUGAAAAUGGAUGUCUUCUAAGGGCAGGUAGUUAAUGAUGUUAAUCACCAAAUUUUCUCAUUGCUGGCCUAGGGUAGAACACUGACACAAUUACGGUGUGUGUUUAGGCGAGAAAUCUUCAAAAAUAGAGCUCCCAAAGUCAACCACUACCUUCAAGUAUGGUAUUUUAAAUCCAGGAGUCGCUCUAUUGUUUGUAAUCACCAAAAAGAUGGGAUAUAGCUUGCAGGAAGGACUCUAGCUUGGUUAAUAUUAAUAUCAAUAUAAUCUCAUUUAUACUGAUAAAUAAGACAGAGCUAUAUUCCUCCAUAAUUUGAAAGUUAAAGGAACCUAUCUACAAGCCCUUGUAGAUUACCAGCAUAUACAGACCAUCACUGUAUUCAUUGGCCAUAAAUGCUCUGAUGUUAUUGGAAGCCUAUCUUCAGAAUAUGGGACAUUUGGGGGACUUGCCUGCUGGUCCAGUGGUUAAGAGUUGGCCAUGCAGUGUGGGGGACACAGGUUCAGAUCCCUGGUCCGGGAACUAAACUCCAACAUGCCAUGGGGUAGCUAAGCCCAGGCGUCACAGCUACUGAGCCUGCUCACUCCAAAACUCCAUGCACCACAGUAAGAGAGUCCAUGUGGUGGAACAAAAGAUCCUGCGUGACACAGCCAAAUAAAUAUAUUUUUUAAAUGGGACAUUUUUGCUCAUUCCAACCCCUUGACAAUACAAGCAUAUGCGGAUGCUAAGCCAUCACUCCAGAGGUCAUUAGAGACCCUCACUAAGAUUCUGCUUGGGUUCUUUUUCCAUAGGCCUUGUGACGUCAUGGGAAAAGUUAAUGUAGAAAAAAGUGCUUCAUUUGCACCUUGAAGAUUGUAAUAUUUAUUGACAAAUUUGUUUGACUAGAUGAGACUUCUGUGAGGGGAAAAAAUGAAACAGCUGCCUUCUGUAUAAAUUUUAGCAAAUAACCAGUAUAUAGUUUUUAUUUGACUAUCUUUGUGGUAAAAGAUGUCUUUGUUGGGAUUCCCUGGUGGCUGAGACAGUAAAAGCAUCUGCCUGCAAUGCAGGAGACCUGGGUUCGAUCCCUGGGUCGGAAAGAGCCCCUGGAGAAAGAAAUGGCAACCCACUCCAGUACUCUUGCCUGGAAAAUCCCAUGGACAGAGGAGCCUGGUAGGCUACAGUCCAUGAGGUCACAAAGAGUCGGACACGGCUGAGCAACUUCACUUUGUGGUAAACAGCUGAAGCAUCAAGGCAAGAAACAGUAAGUAAAAUGCCCAAAAUGGAGCACAGAUGUUAACACCCCUGCAUCUUAUAAACUGCCCUGUAAAGCCCCUCAGAGAGUUGCUCUCUUUGCCCAGCCUCCCCAGGUCCCCUUAGUUGCCCACUAUCCUACAUCAGCGAGCUGCCUGUUGCCCACCAGCAGAGCAGCACCAGUCACUGUUACCAGCGGGAAGGCCUCUGUGAGCCACACCCGCCCCCCACAUUCUCCCAGGCUUUUUGGUAUCCUUGGCAACCUGUAGUGCAGGUUGGCUUAGGCAAGAUGAGGAAAGAGAAAUAGGAAGGCAAGUGGAGGUCAGUCCUGGAGGGUAGAAGCAGGGUUGGCCAGCUGAGAUGCCCAGCUGUUAGUCAUCAGAACCUCCGUCUCCAGCCCAAGGCAGCGCUGGCGAUGGGUACUGUGAGUGGCCAGGUGGGAACCAGUGGUCAGAGGCCUAAUAAAUUUUCAUCAAGCAUUCCAAGGCUUUGAUCCACAGUGAAGAGUGGAUGGUAAUGGCAAUUUAUCACCAUAUGUCACCAGUGAUGUAAAUAACCAAAUAGAAGGAGCUGGGAGAAAAGAGAGUAAAUUUGCUACAUUUAGAAUUUUAUAGUUUUUUGUUUCAUUACUUUAAAGAUCAUCACAGAUCAAAAGGAUCAAAGUGUGGACUUGACUAAGUUACAUGAAAUGUCAAGAAAUCAAUGCUGUAUUAAAACAGAUUCAUAUGAAAGGAGCAGAAGCUCUUAUGAGGCACAAAUAUGAAAAACAAAAAAUAGUUACUAUGAGGGGUAGAUUUUUAGGAAACUAAUUGUUCCUAUUGUGUUCUUUAUGGGCAAUUACUAUGAUGUAGCAGUUAUAAAUUCAUUACAGAAAGAGUACAUCCUGUGAUGAAAUGAAAUUGAACUGUCAACAGAGAGCAAAAUAACACAAGACAAUUAUUCUAAUCUUGGAAGCAUUUGAAAGCAUUUAAAACUGUUUUUGCAAGUGUAUGACAUUUGCACAUCCUCAGGCAUAGUGAUGAAGUAAUCUACCCUACUAGAAAGCAAGAAAAAUGUAGACUCUCUAAAGAUAAUCAAAAUGCAUAGUAUCACUUGCUUUAUUAGGUAACACAGCACAUAUAACCAACGUAAGGCUUUUCUUUUCACCUCAGAGAGGGAAAACAGUUUGGGGAUUCCACUCUCAAAUGAUCUAGAGUUUAACCAAAUUUUCCGGAAAGCAAAAGAUGCAGAACCAUUUCUGAUUAAAUGCAGUGGGCAUAGAUAGCAUGGCUACCCAGAAUAUUCUGAAUUCUUUUUUCCCCUCUUAGGUUAGUGGCACUUGUUGGUAGCACAUAUUUAUGAAUUAAAGGGAUAUUCUGUCCACACUUACUGGCAUAAUAAAUAAACCAACAUAGCUUACUAAGCAUAUAGUACAAUCUCAAGGACUGACAUUUAGUCAACAAAACCCUUCUUGCCUUUGGAAUCACAAUUCUACCUCACCUAAAUCUGUGUAUAAAUCUGGGUAUGUGUGUGUUAGUGUUAGUCUCUCAGUCAUGUUCGACUCUUUGCAGUCCCAUGGACUAUAUAUAGCCCUCCAGGCUUCUCUGUCCAUGGAAUUCUCUAGGCAAAAAUACUGGAAUGGAUAGCCAUUCCCUUCUCCAGGGGAUCUUCCUGACCCUGGGAUCAAACCCGGGUCUCCUGUGUUGCAGGUAGAUUCUUUACCAUCUGAGCCUCCAGGAAAGUCCUUAAAUCUUUGUGAUGGAGGCUAAACAGCAACAACAUUCAGGCCACCUUUGGAGACACUCAGUGGCCUAGAACAGUGGCUCCCAUCCCUCCCUCAGAGUCAUCUAGGGAGAUCUGAAAGCACACAUCCAAGGUUCUGACCUCAGGAGGCCUUGACUAAAGGAAUGACAUGCAGCCCAGGCCUGUGUGUUCCAGUCUUCCUACCUGGCUUUAGGAAACAUUGAGAACUCCACUUUCUCAAGGAGACUUAGCUGGUCAUUCGGGGACCCCUGGAGACUCUUCACCUCUUCUUUCCAAUAGAACUACUUCAAGUAAAACAGAGGCAGCUGCCUCCUGGUCCCUGCCAGCUGAUGCUGAAGAGGAGUCGCUGCAGGAUCCCAAAGUGCCUUUGUAGUUGCAUAUUGAUCCUUAUUCCGUGUGUGUAGGAACUAAAAAACUUAACUUCCCUUCCGGACAGAAGGACUAAUUUUACUUUAGAUGUAGACAUAGCUCCUUGUUCACCAAGUAAAUGAACACACCACCUGUGAGAUUUUGAAAGGUGGAAUUUGCUGGUAUUCCGAGGACUGCCCCAGAUUCCUUGAUGAGUAGUAAAGUCUGAGAAAUCACUUUCCAGAAAGGUCUAUCAGUUCCAGACCAGUGCUUCUCAAACCUAAACUACAUGCAUACCAUAUAGGUCUGGACUGGAGUCCAGAGUCUCCAUUUCCAACAAGGGUCCAGGCCAUACUGACUGCUGAUCCUGAGGACCCCUAGCCAGGGCUCUGUGAUGGACCAGGCAUCUGAGAUGUGUUGGUCUGGAGGGACUAAAAUAACCAUUAAAAAACUGACCGGUAUAACAGACCUGGUUGGGGAAAUGAUGGUAAUUUCUGAGAGGGGGAGAAAGAAUUGCUGAAAAGGUCUGACUUACAGGAGCCACAGGCCCUGAGGCUGAAAGGGGAGGUGCAGAGGGCCCAGCUGAUUUCCUUCAAAGCCGGAAGUUGGGAGACACUGCGUAGGAGCUCAGUGGGGAUCAUCAGGAGAGCGCUUACACAAUCCAGAAAAUGAGUGGCAGGAAUGGCUCGCCCACUAGGCUUCAACACUAUUUUAUGUACAAGCACCAUCAUAACUUUGUAUAAAGCCAGUGCCCACACACUCAGUUGUUUGAAAUAAUAUCUUCUUAUUUUCCUUUGUCUUCAAACACUGUGCCCAACAGCUGUGUAUUUAAGCUCUGAUUCAAAAAGAUUUUUUAAAAAAGCUUUUUUUUUUAAUAUAUAACUCAGUGCCCCAGAAGUACCAAAAUGGAUUCUCAAACACAUCCUCCAAAAAUCUGAGAUGGAAGGACUGGUUUCUUUUAGGUCUUGUGAUAGUUUUAAGGUGAUAAUGCAAAAAGGGGAGGUAUCAUAGAUUAUUUCUUGAAAUCCAAAAUGUAAUAACCUCAUAGUUAAUUAUCGAUAGGGUUCCCCCAAAAAAAGUGUGGUUUGGAGAAACAGAAACUAGGCAAGGGGUUUCUUCCUGUGGAUACAAAUUCUCCAAAAGCUUUUUCUGCCCCUUGGAAGGACAGCGAGGCCCCAAAAUAGAAAUGAAGCUCCCUGGGGCUGGCUGUAUUCACUCUGCUGGGGCGCUAACUGCUGACAUGUGUUGUUAUGAAUGUCGUUGCUAAUGGAAACAGCUUCAGGCAAAUGACAGCACCCAAGAUUCUCAUGUGACCCAUGCACGAUUUUUGGAAGAACGUGACUUUACCAAAAACCAUAAAUGAAAUCCUGCGUCCAUAUGUUUCACGCAAAUUCAAGAAACUAUAUUGUUGGCCUGAGACCAGGCCUAUGAAACAAAUAGCAGGCGUAAUUAAUUUUUAAGAUGUGGUCAUCAUUAUAAAAUGAAAAAAUUGAUAAUAGCAGCUCAAAUCUGGCAUCCACAUACAAAACAAAUGAGAGUCCACCGCAUAAGUCACAGUUUGUUUGUCAGAUUACUUGAUUUUUCAGUAGAAUUGUGUCGACAGGCAUAUCCUUCAAAAUAAGAAGCCAAAUGGCAAAUGGCCGGAUACCCAGAAGAUUAAGGGAUUGGUCUGCAGGCAAGGAGAGGCCUGUUUAAACCUCAGGCACUGUGGACUUGGCCUUCGGGCCAUACUUCUAUUGAACUGGACUCAUGCAUAGAGUAGUUUGGAAUUCAGAGGAUGCAAGUAGGACUCCAUGAGUACACUGGGCACAUAUCUUGCAUUCCUUAUUACUAAUGUGUUUGAAAAGAUUUACUUCUCUUUGGAGUGUUCAGAGGGAGUUUAAUGGUACCAGAGCAUAGGACUCUGCCCACAGGGGCAGUAACUUUCAUGCUAAACUUGUCUGCAGCGGAUAUGUUUCCGUAGUUCCUGCAAAACUUUGUGUGACAUUUGAAUGGAUGUUAAGGACACCCUGAGGAGAGAAGAGGUGCACAGUAAUUUCCACAUCAACCUCGCAUGGCGUCAUAGUUGUUGUUUAGUCACUAAGUUGUGUCUGACUCUUUGCGACCCCAGGGACUAUAGCCCACCAGGCUUCUCUGUCCAUGGGAUUUCCCAGCAAGAAUGCUGGAGUGGGUUGCCAUUUCUUUCUCCAGUUUCCGCAUCAACAUUGCAUGGUGUUGUAGGUAUCACAGGACAUGUGACAAUCAGGAGACAGACUUAAGCCCGGGGAGGUUUUAUUCUCAACUGAAAUUGGGUUUACGUGGACAGAACAGGAUGAUGAGAAGCUUUAGGAAGUGGCAAACAAGGCCACCAUGUAUCUCUGUGGAACAUAUUAAGCCUCAACCAGCACCUUAGAGGAAGAGCUUUGUAUCUCACCCCAAAUGACAAUUAGCUGCAACUCAUCAAAGAAAAUGUGGGCAUGCUUACUUUAUGGGGAAACAGUGAACGCUGGUGUCAAGAGCUGGAAAGUAAAUUAGCCCACGCAGUAUUGAUGAAACACUUGAUUUACGCCCUCAUGGCACUAACUUGGCAUCCUAUCGAGGGGAAAGAUUGGCUUCCUAAUUUGAGAUCAUCUGCGAAGGAAGUAAUGAAACAGGGCCGAGGUGUUGGGGAAGAAGGAACACAUUUCAGAAGGAAAUGAUCGCAUUCCUUUCUUGCAUCUCCCCGGAUCUGUCGCCCCGAGACCCUCAUCUGGGCCUCAUUAGCCGGCCAGCCGCACAGCCUCUGGCGCGGUGAGGCCUGACACCGCCUUUCUUUCUCGGCACUGUUUCCCACAGCCCUGGAUGCUCCCAAGCACGCCAGCCCUGGGUGUGGCCACAGGGAGACAUCACUUGGCCCCUCACGUAACAACAGGGCAGGUUCUCUGUCCCCUCCACACAGACCACAUAGUCCAGAUGUAGGGAACGUGAGCAUCUGUAUUUCAGUAGGGGUUGACCUUGAUAGUGCCUUCUAAUCUGGGGAAUGUCAGAGCCUAUUUUAAGAAAGUUGUUUCAGGUUGUGCUCAGAAACCCCUGCAUGGCUCCAGGCUCCUGGGAGGUCAGCCUGGGAAGGGCAGGCAGGUAAGGCAAGAAGGCGGUGACGUGGCCAGUUGAACAGUGAUGACUUUUCUCCUCGAAAGAGCAAGCCUCCCUGGAGUCAUAAAAGCCAGGAGAGGGGAGGCUUGUGACCCCCAAAAUUACCGACUGAGGCUGCAGAUGCUUGAAGUCAUGUGAUGAAACAGUAACUCCUCUCACAUUGCUCCCCGGCACCCCUGCCCCCCUGAAGAGACUGAGCUGGUGUCUCCUGACGGGAUCCCUGCCCUGCGACUCUGUGGUUUGUCACUGCAGAGAACCAAAAAGGCACAUAUUAUUUAUUGUUCCUUAUAAUUAAAUUGCCACAUAACGGUGUAGUGUAACAUGCUCUGGCUGGUGUCAGCCUCUCCCGUCCUCUCUACUGAAAGCCUUUGUCGAGGAACAUAAACUGCAUCCGGGCUCCUCCUGUUUGGGGAUGUGGGGACUUUGACUCUCAGCUUAGGCCUGGGCUCUGAAACCUGUCAGUUACUGGAUGUGGGGCGAGUCAUCUCACCUCUCUUACCCUGUUUCCCAGUCCCCAAAGGGAAGCUGUUGAGAGGGACAUUAUGUGAAUUAAACAAAGGGAAGCACUCCCCACAGUGACUGGCCCGGAGUAAAUGCUCAGUUCAGUCGGUGCUACUCUGACUUUUCAGCCAGGGUAGGUUGAAAGUGUUUGUCUGAGAUAAUCUUUGGGAGCUUUUCAUCUUCGGUUUUGAAUAGUUCAAGGCAUUUCUCCCUAUAAACAGGAGACUGUACUAAAUGAUCAAUGGGGAUAGCCACAGCUCUUCUUUUUUAAUUGACAUAAAUUGACAUACAAUAUUAUAUUAGUUUCAUGUGUACAAGAAAGUGACAUCAUACACACUGUGAAAUGAUCACCCCACAAGUCAUCAGCCCAAGUUACCCCAAUAUUCUUGACUGUAUGCCCCACACCGUAUGUUGCAUCCCUAUUAUUCUCCUCAAUUCUGACUGUGGUAAAGGAAGAAGAUUAAAUGACAGGUACAUGUAAGACAUCGUGCAGGGCAUUUAGGGAGAGUGUCAUUUUAAAUGUUACUUGUCGCUAUUGUUACUAUCUGUUACCUUGGUCAUGGGAAGAAAAGCAAACAGGACAAAGUAAAUGGAUAUUCAUCACCCACCAUGUGAUUGGACCUUGCUCGGUGUCUCUAUACUUGUUACCUCUUAAUCCUUACCCCAGCCCCCAGUCAAUGAGGUAGAUGGUGUUGGCUCCAUUUUUCAGUUGAAGUGAUUUUUUCCAAGUCACAGCAGGUAGGUGACGGAGUUGAAAUUGAACUCAGAUCUAAUUCCAGACACCCUGCACAACUGUAGAAAACAAAUUGUGUAAUUCUCUGCCUCCACCUCCCCAGUCCCGACUUUCCAGUAGCUUCCCUCCUGUGGGCCAUGCUUAACCUCGCAUAAAUUUCAAAAAACAGCUAAUUCUUCCUGCUGGACAGGCCAUAAGUAAGAUGCAUCAUAAUUAGCUCUGUCUGAUUGACCUCCUGUUGUCCUAAACUGUAGCCCCUAAUUGUAUGGUGGUGGGAGUUUUGCUGUGGCUAGUUUUAUCAUUUUGACAGUUUGCUAAUAAAGGGUCACCACAGGUACAAAGCGCUCUGAUUUACAUAUGGCAAGUAAAAGGGCAUUAUGGGAAGUCAGCAUCGAAGGUAGGCUUGGGCAUUUGUUCCUAUUGACACCCAUGCUGAGAUUCCAUAAUUGACAAGAAAUGCUAUUAUUAAGCAGGUCUGUUGAGAUAAUUAGCACUCAGGGUUGCAUUUUUAAUCGGACUUGAGUCAGAUAAUUUAUCACAGCAGUAGCAAGCUGUCAGGGUCACACAAUAAAUACUCAUUAAGGCUGAAUAAAGAUUAACUGCAGGCUGAAAGAAAAUUAGGCCAAGUAGUAACAUUUGAUUUCAAUAUUUACAGUGCUCAUUUGGUCUUAUAUUGGCAAAAAGAUCAGAUCCCCAAAUCGAGCUCAUUUAUGAAGGAAGCACAAAGAGGGUGCUCUGUGAAGAUGCCCGAGUGGAAGUCUUUUUAAAGCUUGAAACCGUGUUCCUAAUUGAUUGCCAAAGAUAUUAAUUUUGAAAGGCUCGUUUGGCGCGGCUGCUCUAGGAGCCUUGAUAUUCCUGCAUUAAUAAGGUGACAACUCCAAACAGAGAAAUCGUGCAUCUUGAAGGCAUGCCUAAUUUGUUAGCAUUAGUCAGAUACUGCACUUUUAAUUUAAUGCAACUCACUUGUCUUUGAUUCAUACAUGGGCAUUUUAUGGCACUUCAAGUUAAUUAGAAACACCUACCAUUAAAACAUGCAACAUCUUUAAAGGAAAAAGGAAGUCAUUUCAGGCCACUAUAUUACCAGGCCAAGACAUUUAUGUACUUGCUGAUAAUUUACAGUAUACUAAAGAUAGCGAACCAAAUGAGAACAUUAGUAUUUAUGAAUACAGUAAAUUUUGUUGACAAAACCAGUGUAAAAGGUCAGAUACAGAAUCCACAGCAAAUGUGCAGUUUGUUUAUCAGACUGAGAGGCUUAAAUUUUAAUAGCAAAUUAAUUUCAAGGGCUGCUGCAUUGGUGGAAAACCCUACACCAAGGCAGCCCCAGCGAGAUCCUGCCCCCACCCGAGGACCAGCAGCCAGUGGCUGCCGUGGACCAUCGUUGGCAUGACCGACCGUGCUGCCGUUAGACUUGAGGGAUUUCAGCCAAGCCACCACCAUCAUCAGAGAGCUUAGGUUAAGCUCAGUUGUGCUUGCGGUCCUUCUCUGCAGAAGGAUGGAGGGGGACGCCCAGGACAGGGCUACUGGCAAUGCUCUGCUGUGUAUUAGAAACACAGGCUGUAGAAAUACAGCGGACUGGGCUGAGGCAGGGACGCUGAGGUGGGUCCCAGCUCACAGAAAAGGCACAUAAAAGAGUGAGGGAACCAGGCUGAGGGUGUUUUCAAUAUCCAGACGUCGGGAGUCAGCGAGAGGGAGGCUGGCUACGAGGGGAAGCAGAAGAGCAGGCCCUGUGGAAGGUGUGCGGGCGUUUGGUUAGCCACGGCAAAGAUUUGUCGCCUUAUUCCCAGCCUUUCUAGGGAACUUAGCAAAUACAAACCCUCAAGAGGACCUUGUGUUCGGGGUUCAUUUUCAGCGACACAAAGAGGGCAUAACACUCUUAGGCCUGGUGUUGCAAACAGACGAGAGCACAGGUGGGCAGCAGGGUAAAGUGGCAGAAGGCAGCCUCCCUUCUUCCCACGAGACAGAGCUGCUGGGUGCUGUCACAGUGGGGGUCCCGACCACACCUGCAUUCAGACCUUCCCAUCAGCCUUCAUCCUUAAACCCUCCUCAUUGUCCAUGGUGGCCGCAGAUCAGGCUUUCAACCUUAGCUAGAAAGUGACAGGAUUAAUUAGAGACAUGUAGAAUAACUGAGCCCCCAGUUCUAAUCUAUCUGUCUUCAUAAACAUGGUGUAUAGACGCAUGAUGGGAAUCCAGGGAUGAACACAGAUCUGAAUCCUCACUGAGUUUCUCAUGAAGUUGGGAGCCAGGCCAAUGAAGAUGAAGUAUCUGAGGCCCAGAGAAAAGUAACGUACCUAAGGCUGUAGCACCAGUGCGGGGUGAAGCUGAGUUUAGUAGGCGCUGAACCUCCACAGAAACUGCCGCAGAGCACAGAACUGCUGAAUGGAACUGCUGAAUGGAUGAAAGGGCCAGGACAGAGCCAGGUUUUCAGAGCAUUGUAACAUAAAUACCGAUGCCCUGGUUUUUUGUAUUUAUUUCACAGGAGAGAGAAUGUUGAAAAGUUAGAACAAAACAAACCAUGUUCCUACGGACACUGUAACCUAAACUUCCUGAAGAGAGAAAGACAUAAAAUAGCAAAGUUCACUUGAGGAUGCAUGUGGCCUUUCCAGAGGAUAAUGGUGAAACUUGGAAGAAACUUUCUUAAAUGUCCAGAGAAUAGUUCAGGCUGUGAAUCUGCUAAGAAUUUGUCAGUGAAAGUGUUUGUGAUGGAAAAACCUGAAAAUAACCAAAAAUGCUCUUCAGUAUGAGAUUGGUUCAGUCAGUUGAGUGUGUCCAUCCUAUUUAAGGGCUUCCCUGGUGGCUCAGCUGGUAGAGAAUCUGCCCUGCAAUGCAGGAGACCUGGGUUGGGAAGAUCCCCUAGAGAAGGGAACAGCUACCCACUCCAAUAUUCUGGCUGGAGACUUCCAUGGACUGUGUAGUCCUUGGGGUCACAAAGAGUUGCACACAACUGAGCGAUUUUCAGUUUCACUAGACUUUCACUUUUCAUCCUAUUUAAAGCCAUUGAGUAGAUCCACAUGUACUGACCUAAAAGGAUGUCCAGGAUGCUGAAUUUAAAAGAAAAAACAAAACAAAACAAUUUACAAUCAUA